rnacentral:rRNA from 1 species
GGAGGGGGUGCGAGCGUUAAUCGGAAUUACUGGGCGUGAAGCGCGCGUAGGCGGAUGCUUAAGUCAAAUGUGAAAGCCCCGGGCUUAACCUGGGAACUGCAUUCGAUACUGGGCGUCUAGAGUAUGGUAGAGGGAAGUGGAAUUUCCGGUGUAGCGGUGAAAUGCGUAGAGAUCGGAAGGAACACCAGUGGCGAAGGCGGCUUCCUGGACCAAUACUGACGCUGAGGCGCGAAAGCGUGGGGAGCAAACAGGAUUAGAGACCCUGGUAGUCCACGCCGUAAACGAUGAGAACUAGGCGUUGGGGGGCGUGACCCCUUAGUGCCGAAGCUAACGCGAUAAGUUCUCCGCCUGGGGAGUACGGCCGCAAAGGCUAA